GACGAACGCUGGCGGCGUGCUUAACACAUGCAAGUCGAACGGAAAGGCCCUGCUUUUGUGGGGUGCUCGAGUGGCGAACGGGUGAGUAACACGUGAGUAACCUGCCCUUGACUUUGGGAUAACCUAAGGAAACUGGGGCUAAUCCCGGAUAGGAGCUCCUGCUGCAUGGUGGGGGUUGGAUAGUUUCGGCGGUUGGGGAUGGACUCGCGGCUUAUCAGCUUGUUGGUGGGGUAGUGGCUUACGAAGGCUUUGACGGGUAGCCGGCCUGAGAGGGUGACCGGCCACAUUGGGACUGAGAUACGGCCCAGACUCCUACGGUAGGCAGCAGUGGGGAAUAGUGCACAAUGGGCGGAAGCCUGAUGCAGCAACGCCGCGUGCGGUAUGACGGCCUUCGGGUUGUAAACCACUUCCGCCUGUGACGAAGCGUGAGUGACGGUAAUGGGUAAAGAAGCACCGGCUAACUACGUG
rnacentral:rRNA from 1 species